GAGUGUAAACAAUCAUCUUCCAGGGGACAGUCCAUGGCUGCAUCUGCCUUGGGUAUCACUCGAAACUUGCAGAGCAUGUGAAAUAUCUGGCCGUCGCUGUUAAAUUAAUUCUGGUAGAGCAGAAACUCUCCAUUUGUGGAAUGCAUCACACUUGUGUCAAGUUCAUUCUGGUCCAAGAACAAGUCCCAUAGGAAGAACUCAUAUAAUUUUACAAUGCUUGGCCCUAAAUCUUCAUUUCGUGACACCAGUCUCACAUAAUGCAAGCAAAACUCUUGGAGAAUGAUGGGUGGAUAUCAAAGAACAGCAUCUCAUCAGCACUCCCCUCCUUCCAGCCUUCCUGCAUGAGGAAGGAAGAGAGACCAUAGAUCAUAAGCCCCCAGCAACCAUGGACCCCCCCAAUCGAGUUUUCUCUCCUACAACUGCUCUUCUAUACUUUCAUUAUAUAGACUAUAUCACUCUAAAC